UACGGAGGGGGCUAGCGUUGUUCGGAAUUACUGGGCGUAAAGCGCACGUAGGCGGAUUAUUAAGUCGGAGGUGAAAGCCUGGGGCUCAACCCCAGAAUUGCCUUCGAUACUGAUAGUCUCGAGUUUGGAAGAGGUUGGUGGAACUCCGAGUGUAGAGGUGAAAUUCGUAGAUAUUCGGAAGAACACCAGUGGCGAAGGCGGCCAACUGGUCCAAUACUGACGCUGAGGUGCGAAAGCGUGGGGAGCAAACAGG
rnacentral:rRNA from 1 species